rnacentral:lncRNA from 1 species
AGAAAAACAGAGGUAAUUUCAAAGAUCGUAAUUGUGAAAAUAAUAUCAUGAUUAAAUAAGGUUAGUGUAAUACAUGUAAAAGUGAGUUGUUUUCAGAUCUCAGUACAAAUAUCAAUUUAAAAGUAAGGUAGAAAUAUAGUUGCAUUACUACUGUUAACAGUAUAGGAGAAUUUGAUUAUGAUGAUAUUUUUAACUAUAUAAAUGGAAAAAUUUCACUAUAAAAUAGAUUCAGAAAUAUAUUAUAUUAAUAUCUUUAAAAUAUAAAUGCUCAUAAUUACCUCCCUUUGAUAAAUUAUGCAAAUUUGGUCUACCUUUGUGAAAUAUUUUAUAAUUAUAGUCAGGUAUAUAUUGAUUGUCAGUAACUUACAUAGUAGUUAAUGCGGACUAUUUCAAACACGGUUCUGUGAAAAUAUAGUACGCAAAUAUAUAGCAGUAUAUACUAUCGCAUAACACUGAUAGAUUUUCACUCCUCUGGAAAAAAUCAACCUGUGAAAUACCAUGCCUGGAAAAAAAUUACCGGGACAGAUUAUCCUCAGGAUAAAAUAUGACAGAGGAAGAAUUAACCGUUACACUCUUACCGGCGGAGGCUAAUACAGUAAAACAGUAGAAGUGAAUACAAAAUGGUGUUGAUUUUAAAUCAACAGACACACGACGUCUGGUUUCAAAAAUUAAACGGAUUUCAAGGUAAACGAUGUUUUCUUGAGAGUUCAUCACAGUUCUCAUCUUUCAAUUAAUUAUGAUUUUUGAGGAACUUAUUGGCAAAUGUUGCAAUUUGUGCUUGAAUGAUAAAUUGAUUAAAAUUGAAAGGCUGUUUGACCAAAUUUGUGUAUACAAAUUAAUUUUGAGAACUGUUAC